AAGCAGCUGGACUUCUAUAAUAAAACUAUGCAGUUGCAAAAGUUGAUGGAAGCAAAUAUUUCUUCUAGUCAGGAAGAGCUGUGCUUUUUAAUAGAAGACAUCUCAGAUCUCAUAUAUUCACAAAAGGAGAAUCUUGCCAUUCAGCAUGUAUUUGAAUAGUCUUGGGAAGCUAUUCCAUUUGCCUUGGCAAGAAGUUGGAGUCAGAAAGCAGAGCUGGAGUCUAACCCAGCCUUCUAGAAACUGCCUAUGCGAGUCAGAGCUGGAGACAGGACCUAAUGUUGGGGCCCAAGGGAGAUCCAAGUGGUGCAUCUUCAUUAGCCCUACCAAAAUAAGGACAGCAAACUCAAGUACAGACAUCCGUAGUUCAAACACCCUUCUAUGGGAGUUAAGUAGAUGUUUGAGCAAAAGCAAGAAUGAGAGCUCACAAGAUGAAGUCUCAGAUAGAUCCCGAAGGCUUUCUGAAAACAUCUCCUGCUGGCCUCCUAUCAUCCUAAUUAUUUCCUCUGCAAAAUGGUGUGUAGUAUUUAGGGCAAGUGUACAUUUCUCCUUAAUAACAUAUCUUUGACAUCAUUCUUUGAGAACAGUCCCAGCUUUGUAUGCUCAGACUGUAUUCUAAAAUUUCUUCACAUUAGUUGACAUGAAUGGCACCAAAUGGAAAUUUCUUUUCUAAUUCCUAAAUUUCUCCCCAACUGCAGGCCUGUGGUGUAGGAGGGGGAGGGCUUGCAGGUCAGUUUUCACAGGCUGCAGUAGAGGAGCUACUGUGGGUGGGUGGCGUGAAAGCCAUAUUUUGGGGGAAGCAAAGCAAGUUUUUACACUUGUGUUUUUGUCUUAUGAAGGAAGUGACUGAAGACAUGAAGCUUUUGUUUUAGGUUGGGUCCCCCAGAAACAUGCUGAGGCAAAGAUUUAAGGAGGGCUGUUUCAUUUGGAAGGUGCUUUCUGUAAUCACCAACAAGUCAGUGAGGAAGUGAGAUGGGAAAGGGAGGGAAGGAAGCCAAGAGAGUACAGCAGAAUCAGAACACAGAUCACUCCUGACCCCUGGGCCACUGAGAGGAACUUCCCUCAGGAUUAUUAAACCCAAGGGUUCAGAAUGGUCAUUUAUUCUCCUCCAUUAUCAAUGAGUGCUACUCUGGGAGGGACUGAUUCCCUUAGCAUUUCCAGCUGGCCUUGCCCCAGUUAGAAACCAGAAAAGUCCUUGGGGCAGUUUUCUCAACACAGCUCAGAAUUAUCAGAGCCAAGCAGAAUGGGCAGGGCCCUGACUUACCCAUCUGUCACUGCCAUAUUCAAAGACCUGAGUAGAAAUACACUUAUAUAGUUAUUGCUCAGUGACCCAGAAAUGCAGAGAACCCUCUUUCCCCCUCCUUCCUCUUGGUGAGAAACUACUCUAUAGAGUGUACUGAUGUGGUUUUUGAAAUAAAAGCCUUCCCCACCACUACUCCA
ensembl:lncRNA